UCUUGGUCAUUUAGAGGAAGUAAAAGUCGUAACAAGGUUUCCGUAGGUGAACCUGCGGAAGGAUCAUUAUUGAUUGUGAAUGUUGCCUUCAGUGCUGGCUCCGGCAAGUGCACGCUGGUGACUUCAAUCCAAUACCCUGUGCACCAUUGGCCUCUGCUGGCUUCGGCUGGUUGAGGAUAUUUACACCACUCGAAUGUAAUGAAAUUAUUGUUGUGCGCAAGCACGAAUGUACAACUUUCAACAACGGAUCUCUUGGCUCUCGCAUCGAUGAAGAACGCAGCGAAAUGCGAUAAGUAAUGUGAAUUGCAGAAUUCAGUGAAUCAUCGAAUCUUUGAACGCACCUUGCACCCUUUGGCAUUCCGAAGGGUAUGCUCGUUUGAGUGUCAUUGUACUCUCACACUUCCAAUUCUUUGGAUUGGGAGCGGUGGACUUGGGUGCUGCUGCUUACCGUGGCUCACCUCAAAUGUGUUAGUGCAACCGUUGGUUAGACAUAGUACAGCGUGAUAAGUAUCUUCGCUGGCGCCUCACUCGAGGGUGGCUGAUCAGGGCUCUGUGCUUCCAAUCGUCUUCGGACAAUGGCUGACAACUUGACCUCAAAUCGAGUAGGACUACCCGCUGAACUUAAGCAUAUCAAUAAGCGGAGGAA
rnacentral:rRNA from 1 species